UUAAUUGGCUUGCCCUCUUGAUGGUCCUCCCGGAGAAGGAGAAGAGCACACCUUAGGUAGCCAUGGAGAAGACCUCAUUCUAACCCACAGCAUGAGGCCAAGCCCAGCCAAGCCCAGAUCCUGACAAAACCACAGGAAGAGAAGAAUCAUACAUCUGAAAAAAAUUAUAGCACCAAAAACACAGGCACAGACAGUUUGGUGGGCUAAGUGACUUCUUCCAGCCAAUGAGUAAGAAAAGCUAAAUCAUAGUGUUGUGACUGAGAACGGGGCAACUCCCUGAUGGCGCUGGAGGAAGAAACUAUGCUUAAGAGACUGCCUCUUCAAGAAGAAAAGAUACCCAGAUUCAGCUCUCCAGUCUUUCAGGAAAUGGGAGAUCAAUGAGAAUCUUCAGUCUGGUUUUGCAUUUGGAGCUUCACCUUGACCCUUGCACCUGACAAUCAGCACCAUUUCUGCAGCUGUAGCACUCCGCCU